UUUUUAAUAAUGAUACAUAUUGAUAACGUGUAAUCGGACAUCAUAUUUUUAGUGGAUUUGUUCUAUGUUCUGAAUUAGAAGCCUGGCGACAUCUGGAAGUCUGCACCUGACGUCAGGGUUCCCAACUUCUCACCGCGCUCAGUCGCUCACCAGCCCCUCGUGGAACUUCUCACAUACAGAACUACAACCAUGUCUGACGAGCUUGACUGUUGCCUUUCUUGCUUGGAUAUAUGUGAUGUUUGCUGUAAUGGAUCUCUACUUUUCUGUCUUGCCUGCGACUGCUGUUGUGAUGGCUCAUCCAAGAAAGACAAGAAACAGAAAGAGGAAGAAGAGAAUGUAGUGACGACUCAACCCACGCCAACCACCAAUACAGCCCAGAACGCAACCUGAACCAAACUGCCAAAUACAGGAAUAAAAGAAGUCUAGGAAGUGAUUUGUAUUUAUGUGAAUGAAUAUAAUAUUCAAACCCUAAAUACUAUCUGUAUGUUUUGUCGGAUGGUCUAUACCAUAUUUGGUAUGUUGAUUAGAUGCUAAACGAAGAAUUAGGAUUUGGUUUGUUAAAUGCAUACUGAAUUAAGGAUUAGUGUGUGAUAUGUUGAUUAAAUGUAAUUAUUUUUAGUGAACGACGAAUAGACAUAUAUGAAAAGUAUUUAUUUUUGUAAAUCUGAUUCCGCUGUUUAUGUAGUUGUCAGUAGUACAUUUUUCCAUCCUUAGUUGUAUUCCACAGGUCUCUGUUUUCCCCUACACUUUUAUUUUUCCGUUUCAUCUGUAUCUCGAAACUUCUUGAUCGACUGAAGUUCUUUCUUGUUUAAGCUUGCCUUUUUUCCUCUGUGAUGUCUCUUUUCAGUAUCACCGAGUUAAAUUUCCUUCCUAAGAUCAAAAUACAUUUAAGUUAGUUUUUCUCUGAGAUUCUAACCGAUCUGUAUAUUGUUUUCUUCUUUUCUUUCUCUUUUUUAAUGAUGGGACCAAUCCUUAGUAAAUUGUGCUUAUAUGUUGUAAUAAAUCCUCGCAUACCUUUAAAUUCUUUUAAUGUUGGUGAUGUUUUGUUUAUAUGUCAUGUUCCAGACUACUUGUCGUGGCAUAAUAUAUUUUCUCAUUAUUAUAAAUAAACAUUUGAUAUAAAA